ensembl:lncRNA
GGCCUCUGCUGGCAGCCUGCCCCUCACAGGGUGGCAAGAGAGCUCUGCCGUGUAGGGAGCCUGUAGCUUUUGUUCCCCGAGGCGUGGGGAUUUGCAGCGAGGUGAGGAUAACGGGGACCAUCACUGGCAGCAUCACAGCCACAUUGAUUGACUUAUUUACCACGCUGCCGCGUCACUUGGCAGCUGCCGGAAACGAGGGGCGGGGAAGGGGAGUGGCGUUUUUUUUUGUUUGUUUGUUUUUUUGCGAUACGCGGGCCUCUCACUGUUGUGGCCUCUCCCGUUGCAGAGCUCAGGCUCCAGACGCGCAGGCUCAGCGGCCAUGGCUCACGGGCCCAGGCGCUCCGCAGCAUGUGGGAUCUUCCCGGACCGGGGCACGAACCCGUGUCCCCCGCAUUGCAGGCGGACUCUCAACCACUGUGCCAUCAGGGAAGCCUGGGAGUGGCGUUUUUAAGUCACAAGUUGGAGUCUUGGGCUGAAAACAUUUGGGGUGGAGAAUUCCAGCUUUUCCGAGGGCUCCCUCUUGGUGAAAACUUCCUUCUUUGCAAGAAGUACGGAUUCCUGAAGAUUCCUGGUGGGGAGGGGUGGAGGAAGCAGGGGACCAAACGAGAAGGAGGAGGUGUAAUUAUAGAGGCCUGAAGCGUCACCUUUUAACUGCAGAAGAGCCAGAAGCUUUUCACCUCAGUGCGUUCCAUCUCAGUGCUCGGUAGGCUAUGCCCUUAGUUACUCCCUUGUGACUGCCACAGCCUGAAACAUUUUGGGGAACGCUUCUCCUUCCAUUGCUUUCAUAGCCCCUUGAGCCGUUCAGAUGAACUGAUGCUGUUAACUCUAGUCACACGGAAGCAAGCAGCACCGUGCAGUUUGCCUCCCCUUUUCUGGACUCCAUUUGACUGUAACUCCGUUGGGCUGUGUCAAAAAGUCAAACCUAAUCCCCAGCAGGGCUUUGCCACCCCUGAGACCUUCAGGAGACUGUGCUGCAGGCUCUGAGGGAGCCCCCCAAGGGCAGCAGCUGCCUGGUUGGAGAAGGGGAGGGUCCUGAGGUGCUUGCUCUGAAGGCCGGUACCUGGCGGGAUGGCCAAGUUCUGGAGUGCGUGUUUCCGAGUCAGUAUUGAUUAUCUUUCCAGUCAUGCCUUGUGCGGUUCUGAGAUGAAGGGUAGAUGGCAGGAUCCUGAGGACCCAGGGGUCUCCUGCCUUGUUGGGUGGGGCCUGUCUGUGCUCAGGGGAAGCCCGUCCCUGUCUGGGAGAGCCUCGGCCCUUCGGUGGUAGCAUGGUCAACUUUACUUGAAGCUCCCAGGUGCCAAACCAUUCAGUGCCUUGGCUGUCUAUCCCACUGCCUUGGAAGAUGGAUUCUUCUCAUCUCUGAGCCUUGAGUUACUUAGCCGCUUCCUCAUCUACUCCUGGUGUUGGGACCAAGCCUCCAGUGUCUCCGAAUAGCCCUGUCCUCGCUGGAAGCAGCUCUAGGGCUGCCCCGCCUCUGGGUAAAACCAUCACCAAUUCUUGGUGUCUUGGUUGGGGGCUCACUGGGCCGUGCUGACGACUCCUCUGGUUCUGUGACAUAGUACGUCUGGGUCCAGGAGGGGACGGGAAGCUCUGCCUUUGUGUGGUGACCCCAGCGUUUAGCCAACCGAGUAUCUGAAUUUGAGCUUUCUAUGUGGCCAAUCCCGGACUUGGUAUUUUAAGAGUCACUGGAUCUCUGAUUCCAUUGGAGAGUCAGAUAGAGCCAUUAGGCCAGAAAUCAUGACAUGAGUCACCUGGGUACCCUUUGCUGUCCAGGGAGGCGACAUGGAUGAGCAGCGUGGGGCAAUGUUGGUCGUGUGUACCUGGGAGUCUCUCGUCUUCAGAGAUAACCCGGUGGUGCUUGCUUCUCCCAGGCUGCGCAGGAAUUGUCCAAGGACCAUGUGUUUAGGGAACAGGCAUUGUGUCGUGGGAAGGCCUGAUCCCAAGCUCCUUCACCCCAGUGGAGCUUCUGCUCCCUGGGUUUCUUCUUCCUGGGCAGCCUGAGACCAAUAGGGGCAGAGAGCUGGCAGUGUGUAUACGGAAGAUGCAGUGUUGUGACCUCAGGUGUCCUUUGAUUUGGAAUGGAUAGGGUAGGCCCUCAAAGAGGCAGCGGUCUCUGAAGAACAGGCUGGGGAGGGUGGCAGGGAAAGGUCCCCGGUUCACCCUUCAGAACCUGUUGUCUCUGCAGCAACCCACUGUGGUCUUGGCUGCUGGGCAGUCAAGGACACUGGCUUCUUGCCUCUCCUGGGCUGGCUUGGACACUUGUCUCUGUGUCCAGGGUGGGUUGCCAGUCUCAUGAGGCCACUAGGUCAGGCUAAGGCUUGUGUGCGGGAGGGACUGGAGCCCAGCUCGUUUGUGUAUCACCUCCUUUGCUGUCCUGGUGAGGUUUCCCUGAUUUGACAUCCUUGACCAGCACUAGGGCCCAAGGCUAUUGGAGGGAAGUAGUAGCCUCUUGCAGGGAAGUGUUUUCCUCUGCCCUGGAGUCUCCCACCUGCCUGUCCACAACCAUGUGGGUGAGGCGGGCUGGGGAGAUUCUGGGUCCCGGGGCUGGGCUUCUGAGAAGGGCUGACUGGACCUCUCUGCCACUCCUCUCCUUCACCCUGACCUCAGGGUGGAGUGGGGAAAGUCUCGGUGUCCGGGCAAACGAGAGGGAGAACAGGCUGAGGAAACCGUCGGGGUGAGCCUGGCGCUGAGUCCCCUUUGAUCUUGGUCUCUGGGCCUUCUUCGGCCCUCCUGGGGCAGGGGGCUGGCUACAGGUCAGCAUCUGGCCACCCUUAGAGGCAGUGAGUGCCUAGCCAGUCCUGCCUUAGGAACAGAGUGAGUGGUAAAUAAAGACGUAGGCUUUUCUUUUGUCUCUUAGAUGCUUGCGCUUCCCCCUUUUCUUUCUACUGCCCUGCCUUUACUGUUAGCAGUUACAUAAAUGACCACAUACUCUGUACUUUGCUGUAAAUAAAGACUGAACAGAAAAGAACCC